AUUGAACGCUGGCGGCAUGCUUUACACAUGCAAGUCGAACGGUAACAGGGUGCUUGCACCGCUGACGAGUGGCGAACGGGUGAGUAAUGCGUCGGAACGUGCCGAGUAGUGGGGGAUAACGCAGCGAAAGUUGUGCUAAUACCGCAUACGUACUGAGGUAGAAAGUGGGGGACCUUCGGGCCUCACGCUAUUCGAGCGGCCGACGUCUGAUUAGCUAGUAGGUGAGGUAAAGGCUCACCUAGGCGACGAUCAGUAGCGGGUCUGAGAGGAUGAUCCGCCACACUGGGACGGAGGCACGGCCCAGACUCCUACGGGGGGCAGCAGUGGGGAAUUUUGGGCAAUGGGCGAAAGCCUGAUCCAGCCAUGCCGCGUGUCUGAAGAAGGCCUUCGGGUUGUAAAGGACUUUUGUCAGGGAGGAAAUCCCUAGUGCUAAUAACACUGGGGGAUGACAGUACCUGAAGAAUAAGAAGCCCCGGCUAACUACGUGCCAGCAGCCGCCGUAA
rnacentral:rRNA from 1 species